rnacentral:rRNA from 1 species
UACGUAGGGGGCAAGCGUUGUCCGGAAUCAUUGGGCGUAAAGGGCGCGUAGGCGGCUCGGCACGUCCGUUGUGAAAUCGCCCGGCUCAACUGGGCGGGGUCAGCGGAUACGGCCGAGCUUGAGCAAGCUAGGGGGCAAUGGAACUCCCGGUGUAGUGGUGGAAUGCGUAGAUAUCUGGAGGAACACCGGUGGCGAAGGCGGCAUCCUGGACCGAGAUUGACGCUGAUGCGCGAAAGCCAGGGGAGCAAACGGG